CAUGGGGGAGGGAGGGUCCCACAGCCCGGAUUGCAAGAGGGCACAGGCCAGGUUAAGGGACCCUACUGGUGCACG
rnacentral:pre_miRNA from 1 species